rnacentral:rRNA from 1 species
GAUGAACGCUGGCGGCGUGCCUAAUACAUGCAAGUCGAGCGAACGGACGAGAAGCUUGCUUCUCUGAUGUUAGCGGCGGACGGGUGAGUAACACGUGGAUAACCUACCUAUAAGACUGGGAUAACUUCGGGAAACCGGAGCUAAUACCGGAUGAUAUUUUGAACCGCAUGGUUCAAAAGUGAAAGACGGUCUUGCUGUCACUUAUAGAUGGAUCCGCGCUGCAUUAGCUAGUUGGUAAGGUAACGGCUUACCAAGGCAACGAUGCAUAGCCGACCUGAGAGGGUGAUCGGCCACACUGGAACUGAGACACGGUCCAGACUCCUACGGGAGGCAGCAGUAGGGAAUCUUCCGCAAUGGGCGAAAGCCUGACGGAGCAACGCCGCGUGAGUGAUGAAGGUCUUCGGAUCGUAAAACCCUGUUAUUAGGGAAGAACAUAUGUGUAAGUAACUGUGCACAUCUUGACGGUACAUAAUCAGAAAGCCACGGCUAACUACGUG